CAACUUCCAUUUCUCUAAAUCUCACUUCCUGGGUCCUGUGAAGUCCCGGGUCUGGCUCACAACUGAGAAACAGGCUUCUUAUAGUUCCCAUUCCCCCCCCUCCCCCUAUGGAUCCAUUCUUAACACUGAACUGGCUUCUGCAAGUAAUUCUUUCACUCAUCACCACAGAAUACUGAGUUCUGACAUAGACCUCGAGUUCCAAAACCACAUGAACCCGGUGCAGUUCACUAGCCAUGACGACAGCGACACCAGCGCAGUUCAGUGGCCAUGGCGACAGCGACACGGCCAUCUUCAGUUUGCCCUCUCUGCCUCCUGCUUGCUGUUUAAGAUGGGAGUUCUCAGCUUCCAGGUCUUGGCCCCACCCACGCCUCUGCUCUGCCAUCAUGGAUUCGAACCUCCCAGUAUCACAAUCUCAGUUCUAUGCAGGACCAUAUUUGGUGUGGAGGCUGCCUGCUUACCCCGAACUGCUGUUAUUAGUCAGUCCAGUCCAAACAACAGCAUACAGGCUCCUGAGGAGCCUGUAAACCGGUGUCCACUGCAAAGUAAAAACUAAACGACCAGAGAAACAGAGCAUCCAGUUGUGCCCAAAGCCUCAGCAGGAGCUCAAGUGUCCACUCUGCUAGGAAACAGACGGCCUUGAUGCAGCUCAGCUGGGCCAGAGGAGAGCCUUUGUCUGGAGACAGGUCGCAGGUGGCUGGUGGUUGAGCUAACUCAGGGGAUUUAGUGAGUGAGCCAGCUGGGGCAGGCCAGUUAGGACCAGAUUAGAGAUGCAUGUUCUGGUCAUCUCAGUCAGCACAGGAGUGAAGGGAAUCCAACUGCCGGGAAAUCGUCUUGGGGAUUUCAGAUCACAUCCAACAGAUGGUUUUUAUUACCAUUGGACUGCGUCUAGGCCCUGGCAGUGAGGUCUGAGGUUGGCCUGGCAUACCCCAGUAGCACACUCACGUGUCAGACUCCGAGCCUUACUGAGGGGCCUAUAAAUAACUGCUUCACUUUCUCACUGGCUGGGGGGAGGGGGCAGUGAAGGGGGGAUCACAGCACUAUCCAGCAAAGAAGACAGGGUCCUGCCGGUGGACAGCAGGGACAAACCACCAAAACCCAGGGAGCAGACUGUAGUAGGACUCACAAUGAUUCACUAAAAGCCGACUGCGUACAACUAA